rnacentral:lncRNA from 1 species
UUGGGAUCUGCUGGGUAAUUAGGAGGAAGGAAAACAGGAGACCUGAGGUGACAGAACGAAGUGAACAAGGCGAGACCGAACCACACCAUCCAUUCACAGGCCUUCAACGUGGCCUCCCCGAAGCCUGGCUGAGCCCACGGGACGUGAGCGGAGACCCGUCUUCUCUUCUGCUGGUGGAAGAGUUGAACGGUGGUACCUGUUAGGGUAAGGGGACACGCAGCAGGCUGUGGGUGUCGUGGGGGCAGAGUACUUGCAAAAGGAAUUUCCCAGAGCAGGGCCUGAACGAGGGGGAGGC